UUUAGAGUUUGAUCCUGGCUCAGAUUGAACGCUGGCGGCAGGCCUAACACAUGCAAGUCGAGCGGUAACAGAGAGGUGCUUGCACCUUUGCUGACGAGCGGCGGACGGGUGAGUAAUGCUUGGGAACAUGCCUUGAGGUGGGGGACAACAGUUGGAAACGACUGCUAAUACCGCAUAAUGUCUACGGACCAAAGGGGGCUUCGGCUCUCGCCUUUAGAUUGGCCCAAGUGGGAUUAGCUAGUUGGUGAGGUAAUGGCUCACCAAGGCGACGAUCCCUAGCUGGUUUGAGAGGAUGAUCAGCCACACUGGGACUGAGACACGGCCCAGACUCCUACGGGAGGCAGCAGUGGGGAAUAUUGCACAAUGGGCGCAAGCCUGAUGCAGCCAUGCCGCGUGUGUGAAGAAGGCCUUCGGGUUGUAAAGCACUUUCAGUCAGGAGGAAAGGUUAGUCGUUAAUACCGGCUAGCUGAGACGUACUGACAGAAGAAGCACCGCA
rnacentral:rRNA from 1 species